AAAAUUGGCCAAAACUAUAUAAACGACUUUAAAAUAGGCCAAAAACAUUAAAAACCACUACAAACACUAAAAUAGGCCAAAAACCAUAAAAACGACUAAGAACACUAAAAUUGGCCAUAACCCAUAAAAACGACUACAAGCACUUAAUUUGCCAAAAAUUAAAGAACGUCCCUAAAAUAGGCCAAAAACAUUAAAAACCACUACAAAUACUAAAAUUGCCAAAAACCAUAUAAACGACCUAAAAUAGGCCAAAAACCAUAAAAUCGAAUACAAACACAAAAAAUGGCCAAAAACUACAUAAACGACCCUAAAAUAGGCCAAAAACCAUAAAAAUGACUACAAUCACUAAAAUUGGCCAAAAACUUAUUAAACGACCCUAAAAUAGGCUAAAAACAUUAAAAACCACUACAAACACUAAAAUAGGCCAAAAACCAUUAAAACGACUACAAACACUAAAAUUGGCCAAAAACCAUAUAAACGAUUACAAACACUAAAAUUGGCCAAAACUAUAUAAACGACUCUAAAAUAGGCCAAAAACANNNNNNNNNNNNNNNNNNNNNNNNNNNNNNNNNNNNNNNNNNNNNNNNNNNNNNNNUGCCAAAAACCAUAAAAACGACUACAAACAAUAAAAUAGGCCAAAAAGCAUAAAAACGACUACAAACACUAAAAUUGGCUAAAAACCAUAAAAACGACUACAAUCACAAAAAUUGGCCAAAAAAUAUAAAAACGACCUUAAAAAGGCCAAAAAGCAUAAAAACAAAUACAAACACUAAAAUAGGCCAAAAACCAUAAAAAUUACAACAAACACUAAAAUUGGCCAAAAUCCAUAUAAACGACCCUAAAAUAGGCCAAAAACUAUAAAAACCAGUACGAACACUAAAAUUGGCCAUAAGCCAUAAAAACGACUACAAACACUUAAAUUGGCCAAAAACUAAAGAAUGUCCCUAAAAUAGGCCAAAAACAUUAAAAACCACUACAAACACUAAAAUUGGCCAAAAACCAUAUAAACGACCUAAAGUAGGCCAAAAACCAAAAAAAUUACAACAAACACUAAAAUUGGCAAAAAUCCAUAUAAACGACCCUAAAAUAGGCCAAAAACCAUAAAAACGACUACAAACACUAAAAUUGGCCAAAACCAUAAAAACGACUACAAACACUAAAACAGGCCAAAAACCAUAAAAACGACUAAGAACACCAAAAUUGGCCAUAACCCAUAAAAACGACUAAAAACACUUAAAUUGGCC
rnacentral:lncRNA from 1 species